GCCAGCAUGGUGUAGUGGUUUGAGCAUUGGACUACAACUCUGGAGACGAGGGUUCAAUUCCCAGCUUGGCC
rnacentral:tRNA from 1 species